rnacentral:rRNA from 1 species
GACGAACCGUGCGAACGUUGUUCGGAAUCACUGGGCUUAAAGGGCGCGUAGGCGGCCGCUUGCGUCGGAUGUGAAAGCCCGGGGCUCAACCCCGGAACGGCAUCCGAUACGGGGCGGCUCGAGACCGAGAGAGGUGAGUGGAAUACCCAGUGUAGAGGUGAAAUUCGUAGAUAUUGGGUGGAACACCGGUGGCGAAAGCGGCUCACUGGCUCGGUUCUGACGCUGAGGCGCGAAAGCGUGGGGAGCAAACAGG